UUUUAUGGAGAGUUUGAUCCUGGCUCAGGACGAACGCUGGCGGCGUGCUUAACACAUGCAAGUCGAACGAGACGAU
rnacentral:rRNA from 1 species